rnacentral:rRNA from 1 species
UACGUAGGACCCGAGCGUUGUCCGGAUUUACUGGGUAUAAAGGGUGCGUAGGCGGUCUUGUGCGUCAGAGGUGAAAUCUCCGGGCUUAACCCGGAGGGUGCCUUUGAUACGGCAGGACUUGAGUGCGGGAGAGGGUGAUGGAAUUCCUGGUGUAGCGGUGAAAUGCGCAGAUAUCAGGAGGAACACCGGUGGCGAAGGCGGAUCUCUGGGCCGAUACUGACGCUGAGGAGCGAAAGCGUGGGGAGCAAACAGG